GCACUGUCCAGGGUGCUGAAUGAGCGGACGUGGAGACAGAAUUUGUAUGUGGAGAAUGGCAUAUUCGAAAAGGACAGACAAGGGAGUUCCCUUUGUGGCUCAGUGGAAGCAAAUCUGACUAGCAUCCAAGAGGACGUCUAUUUCCUUGUGGAAUUGGGGGAUUUAGCAGUCGGUUUCAAGAAAAAGAUCUACAGUGUCAUAUAUCCAAGGUAUGCUUUUUGUGUAAGAAAAUCAGGUCCUAGAAUCCCUACUAUGGAAUUUUGGGGGUAUUUUACCAUGCAACACAGAUACGUUUAUAACACUAGAUAUUUUGAGAUGCCAUUAUCCUUACAAUCAAGCAGUGAUGGGGGAUUAAGACAGAGGAAGUGUGUAUGUUUGUGUGUGUGUGUGUUGUGCACGUGUGUGGGUUCUGGGUGCAUGUGAGUCCUUGCUUGGAGAUGGUAUAGUAGCAUCAUUUAAGUGGGUUGAAGUUCACUUCACCAGUAAUAUGUAAAAACUAGAGGAAGGACAGAAAAUUAAUUUUUUAAAAAUAUGGUCCAUAACAAGGAAAAGUAGAAAGGCCGCCUGUAAGCACAGAUCGAUUUACCUGUAAUACAGUGGCAGUGAUGCUGCGAGAUGGAAUAUUGGUUUCUUCUUAGAGUUUUGAACUUCACAAAGAGUUUGAAAGACAUGAAAGUAAGAAUCAAGGUGAAAGAAGAAAGAAUGCCUUUUUAAAAAGGAAAGCAUUACUGACGAGAAAAUGUUUCUUUUGAAAAUUGAUAGGUACAUAGAGAAGCCCUAAGGUACUGAUAGAUGAAAUGAAAAAGACAUGUAUGUGUUUGAAGGAGAAUGAGAAGGUAGGAGGAUUCAGCAGUCCUUCCUUGCUCCUGAUUAUAUGAAGGCAGAUCGAAAGGCAGCUGGGAGUUCGUACCCUGGUGCAGUGGGUGAAGAAUUCAACUGCAGUGCCUUGGGUCGCUGUGGAGGCAUGAGUUUGAUCUCCGCCCCAGCACAGUGGGUUAAAGAAUCUGGUUACCUCAGCUUCAGCUGGGAUUCAAUCCCAGGUCGGGGAAAUUCCAUAUGCUGAAGGUGUGGCCAUUAAAAAAAAGGAAGAAGAAAGAUAGGCAAUCAGUUACCGUUCCCCAUACCUGGAGUCCAGGCAGCUUCAGUAAAGGCAUCGGUGGCAUUCUCCACUUCUAGCAAGGGAGACUCGUUCUGUUUGUUUUGGAUUCCAGCGCCUUUUUCAACCAGGUUUCCUUUUGAUCUUCCCAUUACUUGUUAGAGGUGAAAUUACAAUAAAUGGAAAUUGGUUCUCUUGAGGCCCA
rnacentral:lncRNA from 1 species